UACGGGAGGCAGCAGUGAGGAAUAUUGGUCAAUGGGCGCGAGCCUGAACCAGCCAAGUAGCGUGCAGGACGACUGCCCUAUGGGUUGUAAACUGCUUUUAUGCGGGAAUAAAGUGAGGCACGCGUGCCUUUUUGUAUGUACCGCAUGAAUAAGGACCGGCUAGUUCCGUGCCAGCAGCCGCGGUAAU
rnacentral:rRNA from 1 species